GACGAACGCUGGCGGCGUGCUUAACACAUGCAAGUCGAACGGAAAGGCCCUGCUUUUGUGGGGUGCUCGAGUGGCGAACGGGUGAGUAACACGUGAGUAACCUGCCCUUGACUUUGGGAUAACUUCAGGAAACUGGGGCUAAUACCGGAUAGGAGCUCCUGCUGCACGGUGGGGGUUGGAAAGUUUCGGCGGUUGGGGAUGGACUCGCGGCUUAUCAGCUUGUUGGUGGGGUAGUGGCUUACCAAGGCUUUGACGGGUAGCCGGCCUGAGAGGGUGACCGGCCACAUGGGGACUGAGAUACGGACCAGACUGCUACGGGAGGCAGUGGUGGGGAAUAUUGCACAAUGGGCGCAAGCCUGAUGCAGCAACGCCCCGUGCGGGAUGACGGCCUUCGGGUUGUAAACCGCUGUCGCCUGAGACGAGGCGUGAGUGACGGUAAUGGGUAAAGAAGCAACGGCUAACUACGUG
rnacentral:rRNA from 1 species